rnacentral:rRNA from 1 species
UACGUAGGGGGCAAGGCGUUGUCCGGAUUUAUUUGGGCGUAAAGAGCGUGUAGGCGGCCAUACAGGUCAGCUGUGAAAACUCGAGGCUCAACCUCGAGACGUCGGUUGAAACCGUAUGGCUAGAGUCCGGAAGAGGAGAGUGGAAUUCCCGGUGUAGCGGUGAAAUGCGCAGAUAUCGGGAAGAACACCUAUGGCGAAGGCAGCUCUCUGGGACGGUACUGACGCUGAGACGCGAAAGCGUGGGGAGCGAACAGG